rnacentral:snoRNA from 1 species
GGUGUUAGCUGUGAUGAUAAGCUUUAAUCCCAGCUCAUUAUGAGACCUUCUUUGUGUAAGGUCUGGGAAAAUACUCCAUCUCACGUCUUUCUGAGCUUCACACC